UCGGGAGGCCGAUCGGAACCGGACUCCAGCCCGGCCGGCGGCGCGUCCGGGGAGUCCCGGGUGAAGGAGGACUGCGCCGGGCACAGUGAGCAGCUCUGGUGGUCCCCACGCUCAUCCUGGAGCAGCCCCGGGAGAGCGUGGAUGCGAAGGUGCCGGACGUCCAGCCCUGGUCCCCGCAGCAGGUUCGGCGAGCUGGGCACCGCUGCCGUGGGCAGGACUUGUUAUUGAACAAAUGGAUAAAGCCAUUCAUCGACCAGAACUGACAAGGUUCCUCGUCCAGGCACUGUGCCUGGUUCCGAGUGCAGGCGUGAGCCAACUUGGACCCUGUCCACGGAACCCAUGGUCCAAGGCAGCCAGGUGCACGGUGGCUCCCCAGGAGGGUGAUCAAGAACUUAGUGGCUUCCAAGGACUGUGAUCACAUGGCCUCUCCCAGGGAAUUAGGAUGGGCCCAGCAGGAACGGCUUGUCUGUGCCUCAGGACAUCUGAGUUCAAAAGGCUGGCCCACAGGCUGGUGCUGUCAGUCAGGACUCCAUGCGUGGCUCCCUGUGGGCUCGGGUUCCUCCCAACGUGGGGGCUGGCUUCCCAGGGGAGUAUCCGAGAGAGGGAGAGAGCCAGGUGGGAGCCACUGCGUUCUGGUGGUCAGAGAAGUCACCCGGUUCCGUGGGCUCAAGGGGCACACGUAGCUUGCCCACCUCUCCGUCAGGACCGUCGAUGUCAUUCCCAGGAUCUCAGUGGGCGAAGGACAUACGUUGCUGCGGCUACUUUGGAUAAUUCAGUCUCUCUCUGCCUUUCUGCUGACCCCUCCCUGUCAUCUCUGCUUCUCACUGUUUCCCUGAACCUUGGUCUGGCUCUGUCCCGAUGUCUCACUCCCUCUUUGGCACCCUGUCCGUCCUGCUCUCCCUCUCGCAGCUCACCAGUCUCCCUCAUCUGGCAGAUGGACUUCCUUGGCCCUCUCUGAGCAUCAGCCCCUGUCUCUGUGACCGGCCAUUGGUCCCAUGGAGUCAGAAACUGCAGCCUGACCCCGCGGGACCAUGAGCUCAGGCAUCCACCUCCACCACGGGGCUUUCAGUUCACAUUCUGGAGACAGAGCCCCGGCCAGCCAGUCGUCCAGCAUCAGGCUCCUCUGG